GAGCAUGCCUGUCGGGACCC
rnacentral:sRNA from 1 species